rnacentral:lncRNA from 1 species
CCUAAGUCCAGCCCUAAGGAUCGCCUCGCUAAUGGCCACACAGCCCGGCCUAGGGUAGCAGGCUCUCUCUUCUGGCCCGGGGAGGAUCAAAUCUAUGCUAUUAGGGAUCCUAUACUCUAUCCUAAGUCUCCCUAGGUCCGCCUCUCUUAAUUUUGAUGGGUAGUCCGAUGCCUCCCAAUGCACAGACGUAUCUGCUAGGCUAUCUGGUCGCUUCCAUAUAUUUUCCCCCCUAUCUGAGGAGGUCGCCACAACGGGCUCGUCCACCCUCACUAGUCCUAACCCCCUCCCCGAACCAGAACUUCCCUCCGAGGUCAUUCUUUCAAAAUUUAAAAGCCCUAAAAGGUACUGAAACUUACGAGUUUGAAGGUUUUCCUAGUCGAAAAUGGUGUAAGGUCGCCGAAAGUUCAAUUUUCUCGCCGGAAUUGCUUAGAAAAUGCCGAAAAUCGCCAAAUGAUUUGAGAGCAAAGUAACUUGUUUGUUUCGCAAAGGUAGAAAGCUUGAGAAAACCUCAAAGUCCUCCUUUUACAGGAAGACAAAUCCGAUCUCCACCGUCGAAUUCAAAUGCGAUCAAUCUAAACCAUUCAUCGCAUCUUCAAUCUAGGCCGUUGAAAUGAAACGCCAGAUUUGAUCUACGCCCAAGAUGUCGCUGUGACUUUCACGCUUGCUUAAAAUGCGUUACCUUGGUUACAACCAGCCGUCAAUAAUAAUAAGUAGCCGCAGCAGCCUUUUAAGAGAAUAGGCAUGGCACCUAACUGUCACCUUGAAAACACACAACAGUUGUCAAAUCAUUUGACGUUUGAAUCACCUCGGAUAGAGCUCCUCACUCAACUUUACAAAGCUUGGACGCACCUGACUCGAAGCCCCCUGUGGGUCCUCGCCUCGGAUGUUGCGUUCCCUCCCAUGCUUUACAAAGUUUUAGCCAUCUCCCAACGCGUUGGCCCUGUGGGUCAGCGCACCAGUGGCAGAUGAGCUCCUCACUCAACUUUACAAAGUUUGGACGCACCUGACGCGAAGCCCCCUGUAGAUCCUCGCCUCGGAUGCCGCGUUCCCUCCCAUGCUUUACAAAGUUUUAGCCAUCUCCCAGCACUUCGGCCCUGUGGGCCAACACACCAUAUUUACGGAGCUUCGACGCACCUGACGCGAAGUCCCAUGUGGGUUUACCACCUCGGACGCUGCGCACAGUAACGAAACUUUGGCACAUCUGCCUAGGAUCAUAACCUUGAUUACUGCAAAAGAUCAACCCCCAAGCUCCCACAAGUCGCGGUCAGGUCAGGAAAGCAAGUUCAUCCAUAAUAUAAAUAUUCAUACCUGGACUUGGGGGACCAUUAUUACGCUCCGAUCUGAUACGCCUCGGAACGCUCACCACCAUAUAUUCUGACCUGAUAAGGACCCGUCCGAAGUGUUUCCGAAGUGAUAUCAGCAAUACCUGCAACCUAGUAAUACUGACCUGACCAAAAGUACCUCGCCCGAGGUUGAGGCCAAG